rnacentral:tRNA from 1 species
GUUCAGGUGGCGGAAUUGGUAGACGCGCUGGCUUGAGGGGCCAGUGGGAAUUUUUUUCCCGUGGAGGUUCAAGUCCUCUCCUGAGCACAA